rnacentral:rRNA from 1 species
CAACCCUUGACAUCCUAGGACCGCCAGAGAGAUCUGGCUUUCACUUCGGUGACCUAGUGACAGGUGCUGCAUGGCUGUCGUCAGCUCGUGUCGUGAGAUGUUCGGUUAAGUCCGGCAACGAGCGCAACCCACAUCUUCAGUUGCCAGCAGUUCGGCUGGGCACUCUGGAGAAACUGCCCGUGAUAAGCGGGAGGAAGGUGUGGAUGACGUCAAGUCCUCAUGGCCCUUACGGGUUGGGCUACACACGUGCUACAAUGGUGCCUACAGUGGGUUAAUCCCCAAAAGGCAUCUCAGUUCGGAUUGUCGUCUGCAACUCGACGGCAUGAAGUCGGAAUCGCUAGUAAUCGCGUAACAGCAUGACGCGGUGAAUACGUUCCC